ACCCCUUAAAACCUGUUACUUGCCUUGCGUUCGGACUAGGUCGUUACGGCGCACGUCCUUCUUCCGGAAGCCCAACAUUUGACGAAAACAUGCCUUGCUUUUCCAGGACUGUUUAUGGGCCCCGACUAAUGGCAUGGCAAUGUUAUUCGUGAUCGAGGAUGGACGGG
rnacentral:rRNA from 1 species